rnacentral:rRNA from 1 species
AAACUUAAAGGAAUUGACGGGGCCGCACAAGCGGUGAGCAUGUGGUUUAAUUCGACGCAACGCGAAGAACCUUACCAGGGCUUGACAUCCCCUGACCGCGUAUGAAAGUACGUUUUCACCUUCGGGUGACAGGGAGACAGGUGGUGCAUGGUUGUCGUCAGCUCGUGUCGUGAGAUGUUGGGUUAAGUCCCGCAACGAGCGCAACCCCUACGUUUAGUUGCUAACGCGUGAAGGCGAGCACUCUAGACGAACUGCCGUUGACAAAACGGAGGAAGGUGGGAUGACGUCAAAUCAUCAUGCCCCUUAUGUUCUGGGCUACACACGUGCUACAAUGGCCGGUACAGACGGACGCAAAGCCGCGAGGUGGAGCAAAUCCUAAAAAGCCGGUCUCAGUUCGGAUUGCAGGCUGCAAUUCGCCUGCAUGAAGUCGGAAUCGCUAGUAAUCGCAGGUCAGCAUACUGCGGUCGAAUACGUUCCCGGGCCUU